UCUGAUUAACAACAUUAUUAAAUGGUGGUUCCUUUAUUAAAGGUGUAGUGGCUGUGCUGCUACAUCCCUCUAUUCCCAAAGCAGAAAUUAGGUGCCUGCAUCAAACAAUGCAAGAUGUGAGAUAACACAUCUCAGCAAGUAAACAUAACAACAACAAAUAGGACAUUGUAAAUCAACUGUGCUUACACAACCACGUGUUCAGAACUUCUUUCUUUUCCUUUUGAACAGUAAAUUGCAGCAAGUAAACAAGUAACUAAAAACUCAACGCCAAGUAGAAACACCAUGCACAAGUCCAAAUUAUCCACAUCCACAUAAUAGAUUCCACACCUCUCCCAUGAAUGCACAUGGCUACAAAUGCUACAAUGACUUCUGCCUCCAUAUCACUAAGGAUAUGAAGCUGCACCAUACCCCUUCUCGGGCAACAUAUGAUGCUCAAUGUACCGGUACGGUCGGACCAUAAGAUCGCGACGAAACUUCAAUGCAAUGGAUGAUGAGUGCAUUAUGCAUGACAACAUCAUGAGUUCUUCCCAAAUAAAAAUGUGCUAGACAUUUACUUCCACCCAUUCCACAUAAUAACCACUUGAGUAACAUAAUCAAACCUCAAACUCAACAUAUGAAAUCCAUGAAACAUGAACAUUUUCAAAUGAUGGUACUCAAAAGAAAAUAUGAAUAUGAACACAACAGCACAACAUAAUCAAGUAUAAGACUCCUCAUCUGACAGACGGAAUAACCAUCACAGUUUUACUUGCCUUCACCGGAAGUUUGGGCAAAUCCCUAAGAACGAUCUGGGAGUCCACCAUCUGUUUUUGACACCCAACUUAGUGCACCAAAUUCACAUAAAAACUCAAAACAACGCCGCACCUACGCGCAAUAUCAAACCCCGCCGCGGGUAACAAUUCUCCUCACACCAACCAAACUGCAGCGGCGCUGCUUAACAAUUCCAUAACUUUAAAAUUAAGACAGCAGUGGUGUCAAACAAAAACUCCAGAGGCAACUACAUAAAAUUCCCCACAAGUUUUGUAUACAAUUUAUGAUUAAAUUCUAACAUCUAAUUACCCCUAAACGGUCCACAAAAUAAACCCUGCAAUCUGUUUUUUUCCUGUUUUGGGCAGCGACAUACUCAGAUUCAAACAGCGAUAACUUUUAAAAUAUAAUUCCGAAUCAAGCGCAUAAGUACUUGUUGGAAAGAUAAGAAAGAGCCCUUCAUGAUUCUUAUACUGAUUAACCCUAAUUACUCCCGAAAAAUCCCCAGAAACUGCUAAUACUGCUGCUGUUCAUCCCCCUGAAAAUCUGUUUUUUUCGACAGCCACAUACCCGGAUUCAAACGGUGAUAACUUUCAAUUUAUAACUCCAAAUUGAGCACAUAAAUACUCGUUGGAAAGGUAAGACAAAGUUCUACAUGAUCCCCAAACUGGUUUCCCUUAAUUUCUCACGAAAAAAACACAGAAACUGCUAGAACUACUGCUGUUCAUCCACCACCUAAAAUUCUGGACAGCCCCCUCUACCCAAUCGCAAACGCAACCUCUAAUCAAUUGAAUUGCAGCGCAAAUGAACAAGGGAUGAACACAAAAAUCACCUUGGAUUCUCCCCCUUUACUUCCUCCCUUCUUCCCUCCACCAAAACGAUUGAAGACUCGCACCACGUGACGAUGAUCCGAGCGGCAAGGAUUGGCACCUUGGGAGGAGGAGAUUGGGGAGGGGGGCGGCUAGGGUUUGGUGGUGUGGCUGCAAGAAUUGAGAGAGGAGGAGAUGGGCAGGGGGGCGGCCAAGGUGUGGGAGAAGUGGGGGGGCG
rnacentral:lncRNA from 1 species